CGAAACAUGGCAACAGGGCUGAGA
rnacentral:piRNA from 1 species